UACUGUGCCUUCAAAUUCUUAUCGUGUUGGAUUAUUUACUUUUGUUUUGCAGAAAUCGAAGAAGAUGUACUUGAAGUUUGGGUUGGGGCCAAAGAGAAAUGGCAAGGGUAAGAGCAGAAUUCUGGAUCUACAAAAUGAAGACCUCCAUCCUCUCUUCCCAGGGCUUAUUAAAGUUUUUUGAGAAGAUGAAGAGGAUCAUUUAUUGCCAAAAUACAUGGACUUGUUUGGAGUGAAGUGCUGAGGAUACUGAGGCUCGGAGGGUGAGCAAAGAGCAGGACUAAGAGUGACACUCCAGUCUUCUUGACUCUAAAGUCAGAUUUUCCCCCAUGGCUUCAUGAUGCUCUCCAAGGGUGGGACAGGAUGACUACAGCCGACUGGAGUUAGGAUUUACCUCCCUGCCCAGGUCCAUUGGGCUCUGAUAAUAUCCCGGCCAGUUAAGCUCCCAUCAACUAGUUUCUCCUGAAGUCAGUCCUUGUUUAAGAAGAACACAGAUGAUUCGGUUUAUUUUAAAAUGCUUCCUUUUCCCCUCCCCCUGCCAGAGCACCAUUUUUCUCUGAUAUUUAUUGUGGGAACCUGGUGGAGGUCUCAGACGCAAAACUUAAAGUAUUGUGGCCUCCCAUGGCUAGGUUCCUGUGGAGUCUUUAACUCUCAGAGUUGUCCACACUGAUGUCAAGCAACUUGUCAGGACAGGCCAGGCUUUUUCUUAGCGUGUUCCUGGUUCCUAGCGUGCUUUCCACGAGUGAAUCUGCUCAGGUAAGUGGCAACACCCUUUCUUGUCCUUUCCCUCCAAUCUGGGGCACAACGUUCUCUUUGCUGUCAACUUUUCUCUGGACCCAAGAAAGAUUGUUAAUGUUCCAUUCUUUUCAGCUUUGUACUUGUCUUUAGGAUGGGGCAUUGUCCAAACUCCUAAUGUGCAGAAUUGGCUUUUCUGGUUCGGUUUUUUCGUUUGCUUGUUUAUUUUUCUGUUUAGUAAUGAGGUUGUGUACUUUUCGUAUUUUAAUUGGCUAUUUGUGUAUUUAUGUUCCCCGUUUUCUACUUAAAAAAUUAUUUGGUAAGUAUUAUCUGUAAAUUUUGAAUGCUAAUUUUUCAGUGAUAGAGCUGGCAAACACAUCUUUCCAGUUGUGGCACAUCUUUCCUCCUCGUUUUUAGGUUUUUAGCCUGUCUUUUGAUGAACACGAUGGUGUUCUUAAUGUUAAUAGAGUCAAAUUCACUAAUUGUUUUCUUCAGUUUUUUUUGUUGUUGCUGUUGUUGUUAAAUCCUUUGCUACACCACGAUAAUGGAGAUCUAUUUCCGUUUGGUUAUGCAAAAAGUUUUAAGUUUGGACUUUGACACUUAAUUUUUAAAUCCAUUUAGAACUGAUUUUUGAGUGAGAUAUGAGGUAGGAAUCCGUUUUCAUUAAAAAAAUAUAUAUGGAUACCCAUUUCCAGGGCACUACCUGUUGAGUCGUUCCUCUUUUGCUCACAUAUCCCGCUGUCAAAACUGGCCUACACCAAGUGUCCUUAUAAGGAAACUUUGGUUUAAUUCAGCGCCUGCUCUUCACUUCAGCUGAU